CUUUUGGGCUUGCAUACAGACUGCUGCCACGCCGGCUGGCUAGGUCGCUCUCUAUCAUUGGAGAGCUUCAUUCUUCAACAGAUGGGAACAAAUAGAGAGAUUCACAGCCGGACAUUAUGUAGAGAGAGACCUUGGAACAGUCAGUACUAAAGGGAUGUGUCUACCAAAUCCCUCCCCUCAGACUCUGGGACAAGGAGGCCAUAAAAGUAAGAGCCAGAGAAUAUGGAGGUCACAGAGAAAACAAGGUUCUCUAACUCAACAUGAUCAAAGUUCACAUGAAAUCACAGAGGCUGAGACAGCAUGCAAAGGACCUGCAAGGGGCUGCCACAGAUUCUUUGUGGGUAUAUAAUGGCUUCCAGCGUAUUGGCAUUUGUUUGUUUGUUUGUUUGAUCGGGGUGGGGAAUCCCUGAGAGUGAGAAUCAGUGUGUCUCUGAUUCUUGGGCCUUAUCUUGUGCUUAUUCCCUUCUGUUGGUUUGUCUUGUCCAACUUUGAUGUGAUAGAUUUUUUUUAAUCUUAUUAUAUUUUUUGUUCUAUUUAAUAGUAUCUGAGGACCUCACUGUCUAAUUAACAGCAGAGCUGACACAUGGAAUUGUAACACACAUACGUAAAUUGUAUGCUAGUUCAGUCAACUAAUAUUUUGUUAGGACUGUUGUAUGUAUCUGAAUUUAAAAAAGGAACAAUCCUUAGGAACUGAGAAAGUGUUUUGCUAUUUGAAAUUUGUGAAAAAUCUAUUUUACAGUAUUUUUCAAAUUCCUACCUCUUGGAUUCAUGUAAAUUAACUUCCACUUUCCAAUGUGUUUUGCAUUCCCCCCUAAUUUAAGUUCUGAUUUAAAAUAUUUCAAAAAUUCAUGUAAUUUGAUUGCAUGUAUGAAUUUACAUAAAUUGAAGUUGUCUAUACUUGCCUUGAUUGCAUUUUAACUGUAUGCCAAAGUCCAACAUUAAAAGACUACAUCUAUUUCAUGUAAAUAGUGUAAUAUCAAAGGUGUAACAAAAGUGAUAUUGUAAUAAAUCUAGUUAAAUUCUA